rnacentral:ncRNA from 1 species
CUUGGAAAAAGCCAAACCCACCGCGAGGUGGCGGCGGAAAGCUACGGGUCUCUUAAAAGACGGAGAUAGCCGGGUUGCCCAA